rnacentral:rRNA from 1 species
UAAGUAAGCGGAGGAAAAGAAACUAAAUAGGAUUCCCUUAGUAAUGGCGAAUGAACAGGGAUCAGCUCAGGAUGGAAAUCGGGGCCCCGCGGCCUUGAAUUGUAAUCUGGAGAUGCACCACCAACUGGGGCACAGAUGUAAGCCUCUUGGAAAAGAGCAUCAGUGAGGGUGAGAAUCCCGCAUGGCAUCUGUAGUCCUCAGUGUACGGUGUGCAUUCUAAGAGUCACACUCCUCGGGACUGGAGUGCAAAUUGGGUGGUAAAUUUCAUCUAAAGCUAAAUAUUUGUUCGAGACCGAUAGCAAACAAGUACCAUGAGGGAAAGAUGAAAAGGACUUUGAGAAGAGAGUUAAAAGUGCCUGAAAUUGCUGAAAGAGAAGCGAAUGGAACCAGUGAACCUUGGCAAGAUUGUCAUAUGCCAGCGGGAUUGCUCGCAGCUCCACCGCAAGGGUUGCUGUGGGUUUUGAUCGUGACGUGUGUGGUGUUUCUUGCCUUGCCCGUCAACAUUAGUUCACGGCUGAGGAAAACUUCAGGGACAUGGUAGCCUGGCCCCAGGUUGGGUGAAUGUGCCUGUCGGAACUCAUCUGUGGUCUAACUGUUGAUCAAAUGGUUCCAUCCGACCCG